GGGCUGUAGCUCAGUGGUAGAGGGCUUGUCUAGCAUGCAUGAGGCACUGGGUUCAAUCCUCAGGACCA
rnacentral:tRNA from 1 species